rnacentral:misc_RNA from 1 species
GAAAUGCGAUAAGUAGUGUGAAUUGCAGAAUUCAGUGAAUCAUCGAAUCUUUGAACGCACAUUGCGCCCCUUGGUAUUCCAUGGGGCAUGCCUGUUCGAGCGUCAUUUGUACCCUCAAGCUCUGCUUGGUGUUGGGUGUUUGUCCCGUCUCCGCGCGUGGACUCGCCCCAAAGUGAUUGGCAGCCGGCGUACUGGUCCGGGAGCGCAGCACAUGUCGCGCAAACGAGUGCCUUGGUACGGCGGCGUCCAUAAGCCCCUCUCUCACGCUCUUGACCUCGGAUCAGGUAGGGAUACCCGCUGAACUUAAGC